UACAGAGGGGGCAAGCGUUAUUCGGAAUUAUUGGGCGUAAAGGGCGCGUAGGCGGCCUGGCAAGUGGAAGGUGAAAUCCCUCGGCUUAACCGAGGAACUGCCCUCCAAACUGCUUGGCUUGAGUCCGGGAGAGGGGGGUGGAAUUCCCAGUGUAGCGGUGAAAUGCGUAGAUAUUGGGAGGAACACCAGUGGCGAAGGCGGCUCACUGGACCGGAACUGACGCUGAGGCGCGAAAGCGUGGGGAGCAAACGGG
rnacentral:rRNA from 1 species